GCUACAAAUGGCUGUUAUUCGUAUACAAGAGUUAAUAUAUCUAUAUCGGGUUUUCGAAGAAUUACCACAAUUCUUUUGCAACAGCCUAUAGUACCAUUCACUGAUAUCGACACAGGCCUCUACUUUGAGCGUGUAACGGACAUCAAUGAUACUGCAGUGAAUCAUCCCCGUAGGUGAUAUGGCAGGAACGUCUAUUGGAAUUGCAUAAGUCUCAAUUCCAGGAUCAAUCGGCUGUAUUAUCUCAACGAUGAUCUCCUUAUGCUUGCGAGUCUUCUCAGUCGCGUGAUAACUGACGACCUACCGGUGAUCAACAGUUAAGUCCCUAUGACCUUCAUACAAAUUUGGACGCCAUAUUGUCUUCGAGACGUCACUUUUGGGUAUAAAUGAUAAAAAAAAAUUUUUGAUUAUACCUUUUUCAAAACUGUCCGCAUCUUCUUGACUCCCACCUGGGACGUGUUUUUUACUGCUACGUCCACCGGGAUGACCUGACCAGGUUUCUCGAAGUGGCAGCUAAAAUGGACAGAGGACUGGAUGUAAAUGCAUUACACCGAUACGGAUUCAGCACUUACCGGAGCCACUGGGUCGCGAUUCAGAUUCAAUAUGGAUGCGACUGUGAACGGUAGGAU